AGAGGCUGCGCUGACAUGAGCUCACUUUAAUAAGUUGGCAAACUGUUGACACAAAGGGGGAAGAACAGCUACCGAAUGCCACAAGUGCAUCCUCCUGCCUCAGAUCCUGGGAUCCCGAGAAGUGCGGAGGCAGCAGGGAGAGGGACUCGUUAUGAAAGGAUCCUGACCCCGCCCUGAUAGGCUGGUUGACACGGGACUUGACUCUGGGCUGCUCAUUGAAGACAUUUCGCUGGAUGACAUUUUCCCGUGACCUGCUUCUGAAUGGAGGUUCACGGCUCCCUCCGGCGGCCGAAGAGAAGAGCGCAGCCUGCGGGCUGAAACUGGACGAGGAGACGGUCUCCUCUGGACGUGAAAGGGACCAGGCUGGAAGCCCGAGGACACCCUGGGUCUCCGGAGAAGCUGGGAUAGUCGACUCCGGAAGGAGCACUGACCGACGUCGCCUGCAGUUCCCGAGCACACACCUGAGUCAGGUGCUGCGGCCCCGCCCACUCCACUUUUCCGCAG